GCUUCAGGGCGGGGUGAGAUUCCCCACCGGUGGUAAUUUCAGGGUAGUAAAUCUUUCUAUUUCUGAAUCAGCCCACGAGCGGUCAAUUUCAAUUGAUCUGCAGAUCUGGUGUAAAUCCAGAGCCGACGGUAUAGUCCGGAUGAAAGAAGACG
rnacentral:ncRNA from 1 species